GACGACCGCUGGCGGCGUGCCUAAUAAAUGAAAGUCGAACGAUUUGCCGACGGGUGAGUAAUGUCUGUGAAACUGCCUGAUGGAGGGGGAUAACUACUGGAAACGGUAGCUAAUACCGCAUACAAUCAGAUGUGCCCAGAUGGGAUUCGCUUGUUGGGGGGGUAACGGCUCACCAAGGCGAAGAUCCCUAGCUGGUCUGAGAGGAUGACCAUCCACUGUGGAGCUGAGUCUCGGUCUAGUCGUCUACGCGAGGCAGCAGUGGGGUAUAUUGCACAAGCUGGACAAGCCUAAUGCAGCCAUGCCGCGUGUAUGAAGAAGGCAGUCGGGUGAUAAAGGACGUUCAGCGGGGAGUGGUUACCAGCAGAAGAAGCACCGGCGAACUCCGUGACAGCAGCCGCGGUAAUUC
rnacentral:rRNA from 1 species